GUGUUGUAUGAAAGGAGAGAAGGUUAGCACUCCCCUUGACAAGGAUGGAAGAGGCCCUUGGGCCUUACAACAUGCAUUGCCACCUACUUUGUGGCAUCUAACCACGGUUUUUU
ensembl:snRNA